CCUGAACGCUGGCGGCGUGGCUAAGACAUGCAAGUCGAACGGGUGUAGCAAUACACCAGUGGCGGACGGGUGAGUAAUGUAUCGCUAACGUGCCCUGGAAUCUGAGAUAGCCAAUCGAAAGGUUGGGUAAUACCAGAUGAAAUAUCCUUAUCGCAUGAUGAGGAUCUCAAAGGAGCAAUCCGGUCUGGGAGCGGGCGAUAUCGUAUCAGCUAGUUGGUGAGGUAACGGCUCACCAAGGCGACGACGCGUAGCCGGGCUGAGAGGUCGGCCGGCCACAUU
rnacentral:rRNA from 1 species